CUUGCUAUGAGCUGUUUUAGCGGCGGACGGGUGAGUAACGCGUGAGCAACCUUUCCCAGACAGGGGGAUAACGGCUGGAAACGGUCGCUAAUACCGCAUGACGUGUUCGGAUGGCAUCAUCUGAACAUCAAAGAUUUAUCGCUGAAAGAUGGGCUCGCGUCUGAUUAGAUAGUUGGUGGGGUAACGGCCUACCAAGUCGACGAUCAGUAGCCGGACUGAGAGGUUGAACGGCCACAUUGGGACUGAGAUACGGCCCAGACUCC
rnacentral:rRNA from 1 species